rnacentral:rRNA from 1 species
GAUGAACGCUGACAGAAUGCUUAACACAUGCAGUCUACUUGAAUUUGGGUUUUUAACUUAGAUUUGGGUGGCGGACGGGUGAGUAACGCGUAAAGAACUUGCCUCACAGCUAGGGACAACAUUUGGAAACGAAUGCUAAUACCUGAUAUUAUGAUUUUAAGGCAUCUUAGAAUUAUGAAAGCUAUACGCGCUGUGAGAGAGCUUUGCGUCCCAUUAGCUAGUUGGAGAGGUAACGGCUCACCAAGGCGAUGAUGGGUAGCCGGCCUGAGAGGGUGAACGGCCACAAGGGGACUGAGACACGGCCCUUACUCCUACGGGAGGCGGCAGUGGGGAAUAUUGGACAAUGGACCAAGAGUCUGAUCCAGCAAUUCUGUGUGCACGAUGACGUUUUUCGGAAUGUAAAGUGCUUUUCAGUUGGGAAGAAAAAAAUGACGGUACCAACAGAAGAAGUGACGCU